GAGGGGUUGGGCCAAAGGUACCUUUGAGGAAGGAUCAGAGUUGGUGCUGGAAACGCAACAGCAGCUCAGACAGCGUCCGCCUGGCAUGAAAAUAAACAUUUCGGACAAAAGGCCUUCAUCAGAAUGUCCCACGCUCCUCGGCACCACUCUAACCCUCAGCAUCUGCAGUAACCACCUCCACUUCUGAGGAAGAAUCUCUCCACCUAAAACGUGAACUCCGCCAGAUCCGCUGGGCUUUUCCACUAAGUUCUGAUUGUGUGUCUGUGGGGCAUUUCUGCCCUCCCUGCCUCCAUCAGUCCGUCCGUCCCUGCCCGGGGAACAUAAGCUGGUUGGUGUUCCCUCCCCCACAGUCUAUAUCCGAACAUUAACAGUGUUUUUGAUUUUAAUACCGUCACGGGACGGAUUUUUGUUUUAAACAAGCUCUCUGCGUCCAGUCCAGCCGAAAUCCCAGGGAAGACUAACCAACGGCCGUCACGCGGGUCCCGGUUUGAAAUGUUACGCAUGCGCAAGACCCACCCUCGCGCAGUGUCGGUUAAACGGCCGCGCUUGGAAAACCUGAAGGGCGGGAAUCGACUCCACCGCUGCCUCCGAUUGGGUAAGGGCCCUGUCAAUGUCAUGGUACCGGCCAAUAGGGAUUGCGGUCCCGCUUGGGUGCCGCCCCCUGGAGGUGAAUCCCUGGAGCUCCUGUGGGAUUAAAGCAGAGAUAACGGUUCCCAUCCGUUCACCCUUCGACACAACUAACAGCAGGCAGAAGCAAACCUGAGGUGAGAAUGCGUGUGAGAAACUAUCGAGAGAGCUGGGAACAAUGGAAUAUUUUCACCCUCCAACACCCAUGUGCAGUGGUGUGGGGCUGCCAGCAGAGGGCAUAUCACUUUCAACACAAGGGAGUAUUGUUGCGCUAUUUUCACUCUUCACCACAUGACAGGAAAUUUCCGAUAAGACUACAUUGGAGUAACAGCUCAUUGGAAUUGGGAAGUUUGAUGCUGAAAAAUAGAGAGCCCAGACACUUAUAUAUUCGAACACUCAGAAGAAUUUGAUUUUAAAGGAGACUUACGGAGGGUUCCAAGCUGAGAGGAAUUAUUUAGCAGGAAAUUCCAUUUCUUAAGCACAAUCCAAAGGAAUUGUCCAUGAUGGAGAAUCCACAGGUUUCCAAGUUAAACUCUCUCCUUGCACUGGUAUAAGGAUUCUGUGUCGGGAUGUGAUGAAAUAUCCUGCACUUGCCUGGAUUAGUGCAGCUACAACAAACACUCGAAGCUUGACACCAGCCUGUUUGAUUGACACCACAUCCACAAACAUUCAUUCCUUCCAACACCGACUAUCAAUAGCAGUAGUGUACCAUCUGCAUGAUGCACUGCAGAGACUCACCCAAGUUCUUCAGUCAGCACCUUCCAAACCCACAACCAUUUCCAUCUAGAAGUGCAGGUGCAGCAGAUACGUGGGAGCACCACCCAUUGCAAGUUUCCUUCCAACCCUCUCACCCUCUUGACUUGGAAAUAUAUUACGUCGUCUUUUGUGUUGCUGCAUCAAAAUCCUGGAAUUCCCUCCCUAACAACGUUGUGGGUCUAUGUACAGUCCAUGGGCUACAGCAGUUCAAGAAGGCAGCUCAGUGCUACGUUCUCAAAAAGCAGCUAGUGAUGGGUAAUAAAUGCUGGUCCCAGCCAGUGAUACUGACAUCCCACAAAUGAAUUAAAAAUACUAAUUUCAUAGUCUGGAAACAAUGGCAUCCUCCUGUGGGCUACACUGAGGUGUUGUAUUUGUUCAUAAUGUAAGGAAUUCAUGGAUUCAGUUAUUUUACUGCAUUUCUGAAAUUUGCUGCAUACCUAAACAACAAUGUGUUUGUGCAACAACUUAGGUUUUGCAGCACGAAACCAACUGCACUGAAGUCAUAUGGAAUAGGUAGGUAAUCAUCAAGAUUAAAUCCAUGAAUGACAAAACGUAAGAAAUAUAAAACGUUGAUUGAACACAGGAAGACAGAGCUCUCAGAUUUGUUGAAGAGCAAAAUCACAGACAUCCGUCAGCUUUCCAUCUCUGGGUCCCUGCGAUCCUCUCCUUGUUCUCACCGUUCAGCCUCUUCUGAACUUGAGUGGUCACUAAAACGUGUCUGAUUGUCAGAGCAUUGCGCAGCAGAAUUAAAGCGAAUUAAAGAGGUUAAGACCAUAUGA